AGACCAGGCUGACCUUGACUCACAGAGAUCCGCCUGCCUCUGCCUCCUGAGUGCUGGGAUAAAGGUGUGUGCCACCACCGCCUGCCAGAGUUCAUAAUCUAGUAAAUACUCUUAAGCAGUCACUACAGGUCUCUUAAAAACAGUAGCUGGGGGCUGGAGACAUGGCUCAGAGGUUAAGAGCACUGACGCUCUUCCAGAGGUCCUGAGUUCAAGUCCCAGCACCCACAUGGUGGCUCACAACCAUCUUUAGUAAGAUCUGGUGCCCUUUUCUGACCUGCAGGCAUACACACAGACAGAACACUGCAUACAUAAUAAAUAAAUUAAUUAAAAAAAAAAAACAGUAGCUGGGGGUUGAACCCAAGCUACAACCACAGAAAGCCACAGAAUUGCUAUCAGGACAAAUGGUUGCUGUUUCAAGCUGCUGCAUUCCAGGGACAAUUUGUUACCUGCAGAUGCUGAUUAACACACACACACACACACACACACACACACACACACACACACACACACACACACCCGCAGAACUCAAGCUGGCAUGGCGCCAGAGAAUUAGCAACUAGCUCUAAUCCCCACUGGGCCGCACCUGGCCUAGCUCGGGAGAGUUAACACCUAUCCCCAAUCCAUCCUUUGUUGAGUGGAUACCUUUUGUCAGGGAGUUUCUCAAGGGCACAAAGCCUAUGGGAAACUUGGCUCAGGAAACCCAGAAAACUGUGGUACCGGUGAAUCCAGACUCUGCACUUGGCAUUGUGUUUUUGGAAGCCUCAUUCAAGUUGUUCAGAGUAUAUGAGCCGCCGAGUGGACUUCGACUGAGCCGCGUGAACCCAACACCCUUGGAUUCUGGGAAAGCCUCCGGCUUCUUGAAUGGACUCUGGCUAGCUCCAGCUCAAGCCCGGCGUGGACUAUGCCCUUCUCCGGAUUCCUUCUGCCUUGUUAAAAACCGAUCUUGUUCCUAAAGCUGCCACCAAGGUCUGGCACCUUAUUUGGCCACUUCCUCCUCCCGAGGCUGAUUACCAAGGUCCAGCUACCAAAGUAUUGAAGUCCAAUAACCCAAAGCUCCCUUUGGCUGUCCUAAUUAACAUGCCCAAUUAAAGUGAAUUAUCUUAUCCUAGCGUGGGGUUUCCCCUUUACCUUUAUAAACCACCAUUUACCUA